rnacentral:rRNA from 1 species
CUUUUAGAGGGAGUGGCAGACGGGUGAGUAACGCGUGGGAACCUACCUAGUGGUACGGAACAACACAGAGAAAUUUGUGCUAAUACCGAAUAAGCCCCUUCGGGGGAAAGAUUUAUCGCCAUUGGACGGGCCCGCGUUUGAUUAGCUAGUUGGUGAGGUAAUGGCUCACCAAGGCGAGGAUCAAUAGCUGGUCUGAGAGGAUGAUCGGCCAUACUGGGACUGAGACACGGCCCAG